CAGUUUGAUGUGAUUAGCAUCUUUUUUUUUGUGGGUUCAAGUUCAUUUUGACGAGUUUCGCUACCUCGGCGUGUUCAAAUUUUGUUUGGAAAAGACGUCAGAUACGCUCGUUAACAAAGUUUCGCCAACGUAACAGUUCGAAGGCUCGUAAUGGCGUCCGUACUGUCUUCGCGCAACUGUGCCGGAAGUUGUCGGCAAAUUGCAAGGUUGAGUGGAAACAUGCAACUUAGAGCCAGUUUGAGUCGCAUUAAUCAAGAUAUAAGCACAGACUUGAAACGUCACUGGAGAAGGUUGUCUAAUGGAUUGUUACAGAAUGGAAAAGCAUUAAAUUUUCAUCGUCCAACAG